rnacentral:misc_RNA from 1 species
GUACCUCUGGCCCACACACUGGUGGGCUCCCGCGCCAAAUGCCAGGAAGUUCCUCUUGAACAAUUGAUCUUCCCGCCGGACAUCAGAGAACCGGUCCGGGUCGAACUGUUCUGCUUCGAUGAAACCUUGGAACGAGCUCUCGUAAACCGACGGAAACACUAUUGUCCCUUUGGCAAUUGUGUAUGACUCCGUCAAAGGGAAGUCCUUCACGGCGACAUGUGGUACCAAGGUAGCAGGCGUUCUGUACCUUAUAACCUCACGCGCCACUGUCUGUGUAUACUUCAUUGCCCUGACCUGCUCUGCCGUGAUCAGAUUAUUCGACUCCGGCGACCAGAUGCUAGUAACUUCUUCUCGAACUCUAGAUAA